GAUGAAGAACGCAGCGAAAUGCGAUAAGUAAUGCGAAUUGCAGAAUUCAGUGAGUCAUCGAAUCUUUGAACGCACAUUGCGCCCUGUGGUAUUCCGCAGGGCAUGCCUGUUCGAGCGUCAUUUCAACCCUCAAGCUCUGCUUGGUGUUGGGCCCUGCCCGCUGCGGCCGGCCCUAAAGACAGUGGCGGUGCCGCCUGGCCCUGAGCGUAGUUCAUCUCUCGCUCCAGUGCCCGGUGGUAGCCUGCCAGAACCCCAACUCUCGUGGUUGACCUCGGAUCAGGUAGGGAUACCCGCUGAACUUAAGCAUAUCAAUAAGCGGAGGA
rnacentral:misc_RNA from 1 species